GAAAUAUAACACUGCUGACAUGGUAGCACUGCCCUGCUGCAAUGCUUGAUCCAUGUGCGUCUAUAUUUACAUGUGCAGGUUGAAAUAUACUAUUUUAACUUACAGAACAGAUGGCAACACCAUCCAGUCACGAGGAUCACUGCUGUGAGGAUUAAAUCACCUCUAUCAACCUGGGAGCUCUCCGAGAUGUCUCGGGCCCCUGCUCCGUGGGAUGGAGGAGAGUGGGCCCGGAGUCCUCCCCGCCCAGAACAGGACCCUCCUGGAGGUUAGAUGGGAGAGAAAAGCCACACAGAAUGGAAAGAAACUUGGAUGAAGGAGCAAGGAUCAAACCCAGGCCCUUGUGCUUGCGGGGCAGGUGGCAAAAAAUUAUUCUUUUGAGAGUCGAUGAGAGCUUGAGCUUUACCCCCGACUGUACAAGCC
rnacentral:lncRNA from 1 species